rnacentral:rRNA from 1 species
GACGAACGCUGGCGGCGUGCUUAACACAUGCAAGUCGAACGGAAAGGCCCUGCUUUUGUGGGGUGCUCGAGUGGCGAACGGGUGAGUAACACGUGAGUAACCUGCCCUUGACUUUGGGAUAACUUCAGGAAACUGGGGCUAAUACCGGAUAGGAGCUCCUGCUGCAUGGUGGGGGUUGGAAAGUUUCGGCGGUUGGGGAUGGACUCGCGGCUUAUCAGCUUGUUGGUGGGGUAGUGGCUUACCAAGGCUUUGACGGGUAGCCGGCCUGAGAGGGUGACCGGCCACAUUGGGACUGAGAUACGGAGCAGACUCCUACGGGAGGCAGCAGUGGGGAGUAUUGCACAAUGGGCGGAAGCCUGAUGCAGCAACGCCGCGUGCGGGAUGACGGCCUUCGGGUUGUAAACCGCUUUCGCCUGUGACGAAGCGUGAGUGACGGUAAUGGGUAAAGAAGCACCGGCUAACUACGUG